rnacentral:rRNA from 1 species
UACGUAGGUGGCAAGCGUUGUCCGGAUUUACUGGGCGUAAAGGGCGUGCAGGCGGUCUGUUAAGUGCAGGGUGAAAGCUCCCGGCUCAACUGGGAGAGGUCCUUGCAUACUGGCGGACUUGAGGGGGGGUAGAGGAAAGUGGAAUUCCCGGUGUAGUGGUGAUAUGCGUAGAGAUGCGGAGGAACACCGAUGGCGAAGGCAGCCCCCCUGGGCUAACACUGACGCUCAGGCACGAAAGCGUGGGGAGCAAACAGG